rnacentral:rRNA from 1 species
GAAUCUGUCCGUUGGUCGGGCUUCACUGUUCGUACUGGCGUGUGAUGGGUUCUUACCUUCUGAAUAACCAGCAUGCCAUUCACUUGGUGCGCUGGGGAAGCAGGACUAUUACCUUGAAAAAUUAGAGUGCUCAAAGCAGGCCAGCGCCUGAAUACAUUAGCAUGGAAUAAUAAAAUAGGACGGCAUGGUUCUAUUUUGUUGGUUUCUAGGAUCACCGUAA